rnacentral:rRNA from 1 species
GGAGUUAGCCGGUGCUUCUUCUGUGAGUGAUGUCCUUCCUGCCGGCUAUUAACCCGCAGGCCUUCUUCCUCACUGAAAGUGCUUUACAACCCGAAGGCCUUCUUCACACACGCGGCAUGGCUGGAUCAGGGUUGCCCCCAUUGUCCAAUAUUCCCCACUGCUGCCUCCCGUAGGAGUCUGGGCCGUGUCUCAGUCCCAGUGUGGCUGAUCAUCCUCUCAGACCAGCUACGGAUCGUCGCCUUGGUGAGCCGUUACCUCACCAACCAGCUAAUCCGACAUAGGCUCAUCCGAUAGCGCGAGGCCCGAAGGUCCCCCGNUUUCCCCCGUAGGGCGUAUGCGGUAUUAGCCUGGGUUUCCCCAGGUUAUCCCCCAUACCGGGCAGAUUCCUAUGCAUUACUCACCCGUCCGCCGCUCGCCACCAGGGACNCAAGCUCCCCGUGCUGCCGCUCGACUUGCAUGUGUUAGGCCUCGCCGCCACGCGUUCACUCUGAGCCGACGAAUACAAACUACUCGA